UACGAAGGGUGCAAGCGUUACUCGGAAUUACUGGGCGUAAAGCGUGCGUAGGUGGUUCGUUAAGUCUGAUGUGAAAGCCCUGGGCUCAACCUGGGAAUUGCAUUGGAUACUGGCGGGCUAGAGUGCGGUAGAGGAUGGCGGAAUUCCCGGUGUAGCAGUGAAAAGCGUAGAGAUCGGGAGGAACAUCUGUGGCGAAGGCGGUUAUCUGGACCAGCACUGACACUGAGGCACGAAAGCGUGGGGAGCAAACAGG
rnacentral:rRNA from 1 species